AGGGGAGACGGAAAGGGCGCUGGAAGAUCUUCUCAAUCCGGUUGCAUGUGCAUGGAGGUCCACGGUCGGUCACGGAUGCGUGCUCGAGCAGNNNNNNNNNNNNNNNNNNNNAUCUACCAUGUACACAUUCCCAUGCCUAUGUCCAGAAAAAAUAAUGCUACUGUUAUGGGGUUCAGAAAUUAAGCACAUAGAGGAUUCAAAGGUUACUUUAUAGCCUUUAUCACAGAAUUGACUAAUGCUUAGCAAAUUAUGUUUUAGUCCAUCAACUAAUAAAACAUUUGCAAUGUAAGAGGAUGGAGUGAUUCGAAUGUUACCUGUACCAAUUAUUUUACCUUUGCCAUUAUCACCAAAAGUAACCAUUCCCCCAUUUUUCUUUUUAAGGGUGAUGAUCUGAGCUUCAUCCCCUGUCAUGUGUCUAGAACACCUGCUGUCCAAGUACCAUCUUCUGUUGGAUCCUUGGGUAGCUAGACACACCUGCAAAACACCAAUCAAAUUUUCAUCCUAGGUUUCCAAGCUCUUUUGGAUCCUUGCUGGUUAGCAAUAAUGCUUCCUCUUGGAACCCAGAUUUUCUUAAAAGAUAUGUUGCUAACAAGAUUGCAGGUUUUUAGAUUACAAGGUGUAUAUUGCAGUGUGCUUUUGUUGAGUCUAAAUGGAAUGGUUUCAGCAUACACAGAUGAUAGAUUUUCAGGGAUGCUUUUAACAUAUUUCUGUUUCUGCUCAUCAGAUUUGUAGUGAACUAUUUCAGGAUAAAUAGAGGAGGAUUUAACAAACAUGUUUUUGUGUGAUUUUUGUUUGUUCCAAGGGUGAUAUCCCAAACCAGCCUUAUCAAACACAACUCUUUGAUUAUCUAAAAUUAAGUUCAGUUUUUCAGAGCUGAGGGUAAAUCUUUGAACAAAAGGUUUUAAUUUGUUAAUUUCUUUGAUUAACUUUUCAUUAAUUUCUGAAAGCUGCUCACUAUUUUUCUGAAUUUUAACAUUGCUUUCAGUAAGAAGUUGAUUUUUCUAUUUUAAUUCUUUAUUUCUUAGAACAAGUUUUUUUGUAUUCUAAGAGAAGAUCAGAAAAGGCAUCAUGAAGUUCUUCAAAUGAAAAGUUAAUUUGAGUUUCAGCACAUACCUCAUCUUCAUGUGCCAUAAAGCAUUGAAGUGCAGUUUCUUGUUGUUGCUCUUCUUCUUCAGAGCUCGUUUCGUCACUGUCACUCCAAGUGGCCAUCAUGGCCUUCUUUUUGUACUUUUUAGGAGCCUUUGUGAGUAGUGAACAUUCAGUUCUGAAGUGAUCCGGUUUCUUCUUACAUUCAUAAUAGGUCACUUGCUGCUCCU
rnacentral:lncRNA from 1 species